ACACGGAGGAUGCAAGCGUUAUCCGGAUUUAUUGGGUUUAAAGGGUGCGCAGGCGGCCAUUUAAGUCAGCGGUUAAAUCGUGGGGCUCAACCCCAUUCUGCCGUUGAUACUGGGUGGCUUGAUUGCGGUCGAGGUUGGCGGAAUUCGUUGUGUAGCGGUGAAAUGCAUAGAUAUGACGAAGAACACCGAUUGCGUAGGCAGCUGACCAGACCGCAAAUGACGCUCAUGCACGAAAGUGCGGGGAUCGAACAGGAUUAGAUACCCUGGUAGUCCGCACAGUAAACGAUGAAUACUUGUUUUCGGCGAUAUAAUGUCGGAGGCAAAGCGAAAGCGAUAAGUAUUCCACCUGGGGAGUACGCCGGCAACGGUGAAACUCAAAGGAAUUGACGGGG
rnacentral:rRNA from 1 species